rnacentral:rRNA from 1 species
UACGUAGGGUGCGAGCGUUGUCCGGAAUUAUUGGGCGUAAAGAGCUCGUAGGCGGCUUGUCGCGUCGGCUGUGAAAACUCGGGGCUCAACCCCGAGCCUGCAGUCGAUACGGGCAGGCUAGAGUCCGGCAGGGGAGACUGGAAUUCCUGGUGUAGCGGUGAAAUGCGCAGAUAUCAGGAGGAACACCGGUGGCGAAGGCGGGUCUCUGGGCCGGAACUGACGCUAAGGAGCGAAAGCGUGGGGAGCGAACAGG